rnacentral:rRNA from 1 species
AUUGAACGCUGGCGGCAGGCCUAACACAUGCAAGUCGAACGGUAACAGGAAGAAGCUUGCUUCUUUGCUGACGAGUGGCGGACGGGUGAGUAAUGUCUGGGAAACUGCCUGAUGGAGGGGGAUAACUACUGGAAACGGUAGCUAAUACCGCAUAACGUCGCAAGACCAAAGAGGGGGACCUUCGGGCCUCUUGCCAUCGGAUGUGCCCAGAUGGGAUUAGCUAGUAGGUGGGGUAACGGCUCACCUAGGCGACGAUCCCUAGCUGGUCUGAGAGGAUGACCAGGCACACUGGGACUUAGAAACGGUCCCGACUCCUACGGGAGGCCGCAGUGGGGAAUAUUGCACCAUUGGGGCAAACCUUAUGCAGGCAAGGCGGGUGUAUGAAGAAGGGCCUUGGGGUUGAAAGGUCCUUUAGCGGGGAGGAAGGGAGUAAAGUUAAUACCUUUGCUCAUUGACGUUACCCGCAGAAGAAGCACCGGCUAACUCCGUG